rnacentral:lncRNA from 1 species
CUUUCUUUCUUUCUUUCUCUCUAUAUGUAUAAUAUUCAUAUCUGCCCCUCAUAAGGGAAAAGGCACACCCUUUUCUGUUUCCCAUGAUAGGAGGAGAAAUGAUAGGUGUAUCCUCCUGAUAAAGGAUCCACUAAUACUACUAUUCAAAUGAGAGGAGAGGGAUGGGUUUCCAUAAUAGGAAUCACACCUUUCCCACAGAAAAGAUGAUGACCCAGCCAUUCUACCCGUAUGAUGGCUGUGGUGGUGCUGGGCUUUUCAAGCACCAUCUGUAUCCAUUCUCGAUCCCCCUCGCUCCCACUCU